UACAGAGGGUGCAAGCGUUUAAUCGGAAUUACUGGGCGUAAAGCGUGCGUAGACGGUUGCGUAAGUCAGAUGUGAAAGCCCCGGGCUUAACCUGGGAACUGCGUUUGUUACUGGCAAGCUAGAGUGUGUCAGAGGGAGGUAGAAUUCCACGUGUAGCAGUGAAAUGCGUAGAUAUGUGGAGGAAUACCGAUGGCGAAGGCAGCCUCCUGGGAUAACACUGACGCUCAUGCACGAAAGCGUGGGGAGCAAACAGG
rnacentral:rRNA from 1 species